rnacentral:rRNA from 1 species
GACGAACGCUGGCGGCGUGCCUAAUACAUGCAAGUCGAACGCAGGGGGGACGGGGGAGUAACACGUGGGUAACCGCCCAUCAGAGGGGAUAAAACUUGGAAACAGGUGCUAAACCGAUACUGAUGGAUGGACCCGGGGUGCAUAAGCCAGUUGGGGAGGUAACGGCUCACCAAGGCCACGAUGCCUAGCCGACCGGCGAGGAUGUUCGGCCACCCUGGAAUGGAGACACGGCCCAGACUCCUACGGGAGGCAGCAGUGGGGAAUCUUCGGCAAUGGGCGAAAGCCUGACCGAGCAACGCCGCGUGAGUGAAGAAGGUUUUCGGAUCGUAAAACUCUUUUGUUAGAGAGGCGGUAUCUAACCAGAAAGCCACGGCUAACUACGUGCCAGCAGCCGCGGUAAUUC